rnacentral:rRNA from 1 species
GAUGAACGCUGGCGGCGUGCCUAAUACAUGCAAGUCGAGCGAGCGGACGAGAAGCUUGCUUCUCUGAUGUUAGCGGCGGACGGGUGAGUAACACGUGGAUAACCUACCUAUAAGACUGGGAUAACUUCGGGAAACCGGAGCUAAUACCGGAUAAUAUUUUGAACCGCAUGGUUCAAAAGUGAAAGACGGUCUUGCUGUCACUUAUAGAUGGAUCCGCGCUGCAUUAGCUAGUUGGUAAGGUAACGGCUUACCAAGGCAACGAUGCAUAGCCGACCUGAGAGGGUGAUCGGCCACACUGGAACUGAGACACGGUCCAGACUCCUACGGGAGGCAGCAGUAGGGAAUCUUCCGCAAUGGGCGAAAGCCUGACGGAGCAACGCCGCGUGAGUGAUGAAGGUCUUCGGAUCGUAAAACUCUGUUAUUAGGGAAGAACAUAUGUGUAAGUAACUGUGCACAUCUUGACGGUACCUAAUCAGAAAGCCACGGCUAACUACGCG